UACAGAGGUCCCAAGCGUUGUUCGGAUUCAUUGGGCGUAAAGGGUGCGUAGGCGGCGCGGUAAGUCGGGUGUGAAAUCUCGGGGCUUAACUCCGAAACUGCAUUCGAUACUGCCGUGCUUGAGGACUGGAGAGGAGACUGGAAUUUACGGUGUAGCGGUGAAAUGCGUAGAUAUCGUAAGGAAGACCAGUGGCGAAGGCGGGUCUCUGGACAGUUACCGACGCUGAGGCACGAAGGUCAGGGGAGCAAACGGG
rnacentral:rRNA from 1 species